rnacentral:misc_RNA from 1 species
AGAAACACCAUAACUAUGUGCAUCAAAACUAUUGAAAAAGUGAAAAUUUUGGAUGCACUAUGUUCAUCAAGGGUCCAAAGUCAUCUAUGUAUUUAUUUCUAUUUUCGAACAUGCAUGAGUAAAUUAGAUACAAUUGAUGAUACAUACAGUAAAAAUCCAGAGAAGAAUGAAUAUAUAAGUGUAGAAAAAUCAUAAGAAAAAAACUCAUCGUAAUACAACAGGUACGAAGAGGAAUUGAGGGUGAAACAGAGAUUAAAGACGAUAUCAGAAUUUGA